rnacentral:tRNA from 1 species
GAAAAAGGAGACUUUAACUCCCCUGCUCCCAAAGCCAGGAUUCUAACGCAAAACUAUUUUCUG